UGUGAACUCGAAGAGUAGGGCGGGACACGUGGUAUCCUGUCUGAAUAUGGGGGGACCAUCCUCCAAGGCUAAAUACUCCUGACUGACCGAUAGUGAACCAGUACCGUGAGGGAAAGGCGAAAAGAACCCCGGCGAGGGGAGUGAAAAAGAACCUGAAACCGUGUACGUACAAGCAGUGGGAGCACCUUCGGGUGUGACUGCGUACCUUUUGUAUAAUGGGUCAGCGACUUAUAUUCUGUAGCAAGGUUAACCGUAUAGGGGAGCCGCAGGGAAACCGAGUCUUAACUGGGCGUUAAGUUGCAGGGUAUAGACCCGAAACCCGGUGAUCUAGCCAUGGGCAGGUUGAAGGUUGGGUAACACUAACUGGAGGACCGAACCGACUAAUGUUGAAAAAUUAGCGGAUGACUUGUGGCUGGGGGUGAAAGGCCAAUCAAACCGGGAGAUAGCUGGUUCUCCCCGAAAGCUAUUUAGGUAGCGCCUCGUGAA
rnacentral:rRNA from 3 species